GAUUAACGCUGGCGGCGUGCAUAACACAUGCAAGUCGAACGAAGUGGCGGACGGGUGAGUAACGCGUGAGUAACCUGCCUUAGAGAAGGGGAUAGCCUUUGGAAACGAAGAAUAAUACCCUAUGCUCUAAGAUGGACUUGCGUCUGAUUAGCUAGUUGGUGAGAUAAUAGCUCACCAAGGCAACGAUCAGUAGCCGGCUUGAGAGAGUGUACGGCCACAUUGGGACUGAGACACGGCCCAGACUCUACGGGAGGCAGCAGUGGGGAAUUUUGCACAAUGGGGGAAACCCUGAUGCAGCGACGCCGCGUGAUUUAGAAGGCCUUCGGGUUGUAAAAAUCUUUUCUAUGGGAAGCAGUACCAUAGGAAUAAGGACCGGCUAAUUACGUGCCAGCAGCCGCGGUAAUAC
rnacentral:rRNA from 1 species